GACGAACGCUGGCGGCGUGCCUAAUACAUGCAAGUCGAGCGAAUCACUGGGAGCUUGCUCCUGGUGGUUAGCGGCGGACGGGUGAGUAACACGUGGGCAACCUGCCUGUAAGACUGGGAUAACUUCGGGAAACCGGAGCUAAUACCGGAUAAUUUCUUCCCUCGCAUGAGGGAAGGUUGAAAGUCGGUUUCGGCUGACACUUACAGAUGGGCCCGCGGCGCAUUAGCUAGUUGGUGAGGUAACGGCUCACCAAGGCGACGAUGCGUAGCCGACCUGAGAGGGUGAUCGGCCACACUGGGACUGAGACACGGCCCAGACUCCUACGGGAGGCAGCAGUAGGGAAUCUUCCACAAUGGACGAAAGUCUGAUGGAGCAACGCCGCGUGAGUGAUGAAGGCCUUCGGGUCGUAAAGCUCUGUUGUCAGGGAAGAACAAGUAUCGGAGUAACUGCCGGUACCUUGACGGUACCUGACCAGAAAGCCACGGCUAACUACGUGCCAGCCGCCGCGGUAAUAC
rnacentral:rRNA from 1 species